rnacentral:ncRNA from 2 species
AAUUUGGGAGAUGCUGUUUAAAUAACAGAGCCGAAGGGGAAAGUGCGGCAAACUCUCAGGCAAAAGGACCAAAU